rnacentral:rRNA from 1 species
ACGAACGCUGGCGGCCUGCCUAACACAUGCAAGUCGAACGAGACCUUCGGGUCUAGUGGCGCACGGGUGCGUAACGCGUGGGAACCUGCCCUUAGGUUCGGAAUAACUCCCCGAAAGGGGUGCUAAUACCGGAUAAUGUCUUCGGACCAAAGAUUUAUCGCCUUUGGAUGGGCCCGCGUUGGUUUAGCUAGUUGGUAGGGUAAAAGCCUACCAAGGCGACGAUCCAUAGCUGGUCUGAGAGGAUGAUCAGCCACACUGGGACUGAGACACGGCCCAGACUCCUACGGGAGGCAGCAGUGGGGAAUAUUGGACAAUGGGCGAAAGCCUGAUCCAGCAAUGCCGCGUGAGUGAUGAAGGCCUUAGGGUUGUAAAGCUCUUUUACCCGGGAUGAUAAUGACAGUACCGGGAGAAUAAGCGCCGGCUAACUCCGUG